UUUUCCUACGGGAGGCAGCAGUGGGGGAUAUUGCACAAUGGGGGAAACCCUGAUGCAGCGACGCCGCGUGAGCGAUGAAGUAUUUCGGUAUGUAAAGCUCUAUCAGCAGGGAAGAAAAUGACGGUACCUGACUAAGAAGCCCCGGCUAACUACGUGCCAGCAGCCGCGGUAAUACAUAGGGGGCAAGCGUUAUCCGGAUUUACUGGGUGUAAAGGGAGCGUAGACGGCAGUGCAAGUCUGAAGUGAAAGGCGGGGGCCCAACCCCCGGACUGCUUUGGAAACUGUAUAGCUGGAGUGCAGGAGAG
rnacentral:rRNA from 1 species